rnacentral:rRNA from 1 species
AUGAACGCUAGCGGCAGGCCUAAUACAUGCAAGUCGGACGGGAUUCAGGAGCUUGCUUCUGAUGAGAGUGGCGCACGGGUGCGUAACACGUAUGUAACCUACCUUUAUCAGGGGGAUAGCCUCUCGAAAGAGAGAUUAAGCCCGCAUAAAAUCACAGCACAGCAUUGUGUAAUGAUCAAAUAUUUAUAGGAUAAAGAUGGGCAUGCGGAACAUUAGCUAGAUGGCGGGGUAACGGCCCACCAUGGCGACGAUGUUUAGGGGAUCUGAGAGGAUGGCCCCCCACACUGGUACUGAGACACGGACCAGACUCCUACGGGAGGCAGCAGUAAGGAAUAUUGGUCAAUGGGCGGAAGCCUGAACCAGCCAUGCCGCGUGCAGGAAGACGGCCCUACGGGUUGUAAACUGCUUUUAUACGGGAAUAAACCCAGAUACGUGUAUCUGGCUGAAUGUACUGUAAGAAUAAGAAUCGGCUAACUCCGUG